rnacentral:rRNA from 1 species
GUUGGUGAGGUUAUCGUCAAGCAAGGCAUCGAUUGCGUAGCGACCUGAGAGGUGAUCGGCACACUGGACUGAGAACACGCCCAGACUCUACGGGAGGCAGCAGUAGGAUCUCGCAUGGACGAAAGUCUGACGAGCACGCGCGUGAGUGAUGAAGGUUUUCGGAUCGUAAAGCUCUGUUGUUAGGGAAGAACAAGUACCCGUUCGAAUAGGGCGGUACCUUUGACGGUACCUAACCCAGAAAGCCACGGCUAACUACGUGCCAGCAGCCGCGGUAAUACGUAGGUGGCAAGCGUUGUCCGGGAAUUAUUGGGCGUAAAGGGCUCGCAGGCGGUUUCUUAAGUCUGAUGUGAAAGCCCCCGGCUCAACCGGGGAGGGUCAUUGGAAACUGGGGAACUUGAGUGCAGAAGAGGAGAGUGGAAUUCCACGUGUAGCGGUGAAAUGCGUAGAGAUGUGGAGGAACACCAGUGGCGAAGGCGACUCUCUGGUCUGUAACUGACGCUGAGGAGCGAAAGCGUGGGGAGCGAACAGGAUUAGAUACCCUGGUAGUCCACGCCGUAAACGAUGAGUGCUAAGUGUUAGGGGGUUUCCGCCCCUUAGUGCUGCAGCUAACGCAUUAAGCACUCCGCCUGGGGAGUACGGUCGCAAGACUGAAACUCAAAGGAAUUGACGGGGGCCCGCACAAGCGGUGGAGCAUGUGGUUUAAUUCGAAGCAACGCGAAGAACCUUACCAGGUCUUGACAUCCUCUGACAAUCCUAGAGAUAGGACGUCCCCUUCGGGGGCAGAGUGACAGGUGGUGCAUGGUUGUCGUCAGCUCGUGUCGUGAGAUGUUGGGUUAAGUCCCGCAACGAGCGCAACCCUUGAUCUUAGUUGCCAGCAUUCAGUUGGGCACUCUAAGGUGACUGCCGGUGACAAACCGGAGGAAGGUGGGGAUGACGUCAAAUCAUCAUGCCCCUUAUGACCUGGGCUACACACGUGCUACAAUGGACAGAACAAAGGGCAGCGAAACCG